rfam:Myotis davidii contig65651, whole genome shotgun sequence.
GGUGGUUCUUGGGCAGCGCACCCUGGAAUUGGACUCCUUCCUCUCUGGUUCCAGGUGUAUCACCCAAGAACCACA